rnacentral:rRNA from 1 species
UGCUGGGGGAUUAGUGGCGAACGGGUGAGUAACACGUGAGUAACCUGCCCUUGACUCUGGGAUAAGCCUGGGAAACUGGGUCUAAUACCGGAUACGACCAUCUGGCGCAUGUCAUGGUGGUGGAAAGCUUUUGUGGUUUUGGAUGGACUCGCGGCCUAUCAGCUUGUUGGUGGGGUAAUGGCCUACCAAGGCGACGACGGGUAGCCGGCCUGAGAGGGUGACCGGCCACACUGGGACUGAGACACGGCCCAGACUCCUACGGGAGGCAGCAGUGGGGAAUAUUGCACAAUGGGCGCAAGCCUGAUGCAGCGACGCCGCGUGAGGGAUGACGGCCUUCGGGUUGUAAACCUCUUUCAGUAGGGAAGAAGCGAAAGUGACGGUACCUGCAGAAGAAGCGCCGGCUAACUACGUGCCAGCAGCCGCGGUAAUACGUAGGGCGCAAGCGUUAUCCGGAAUUAUUGGGCGUAAAGAGCUCGUAGGCGGUUUGUCGCGUCUGCUGUGAAAGACCGGGGCUCAACUCCGGUUCUGCAGUGGGUACGGGCAGACUAGAGUGCAGUAGGGGAGACUGGAAUUCCUGGUGUAGCGGUGAAAUGCGCAGAUAUCAGGAGGAACACCGAUGGCGAAGGCAGGUCUCUGGGCUGUAACUGACGCUGAGGAGCGAAAGCAUGGGGAGCGAACAGGAUUAGAUACCCUGGUAGUCCAUGCCGUAAACGUUGGGC